rnacentral:rRNA from 1 species
AGUAAAAGUCGUAACAAGGUCUCCGUUGGUGAACCAGCGGAGGGAUCAUUACCGAGUUUACAACUCCCAAACCCCUGUGAACAUACCACUUGUUGCCUCGGCGGAUCAGCCCGCUCCCGGUAAAACGGGACGGCCCGCCAGAGGACCCCUAAACUCUGUUUCUAUAUGUAACUUCUGAGUAAAACCAUAAAUAAAUCAAAACUUUCAACAACGGAUCUCUUGGUUCUGGCAUCGAUGAAGAACGCAGCAAAAUGCGAUAAGUAAUGUGAAUUGCAGAAUUCAGUGAAUCAUCGAAUCUUUGAACGCACAUUGCGCCCGCCAGUAUUCUGGCGGGCAUGCCUGUUCGAGCGUCAUUUCAACCCUCAAGCACAGCUUGGUGUUGGGACUCGCGUUAAUUCGCGUUCCUCAAAUUGAUUGGCGGUCACGUCGAGCUUCCAUAGCGUAGUAGUAAAACCCUCGUUACUGGUAAUCGUCGCGGCCACGCCGUUAAACCCCAACUUCUGAAUGUUGACCUCGGAUCAGGUAGGAAUACCCGCUGAACUU